AUUACAGAUUACUUCAACUACGGUUUCACUGAAGAGACGUGGGAGGCUUUCUACCUGAAACAGAAAGACAUGCGAUCGGCUAGGAGGGAAAUGGCAUCUGUAUGCAAGCGAAUUGAAGAUAAACAGAGAGCAAACAGAGAAAAGCGAACAGGUGGUACAGAAAAGGUGGACAAACACAGACAACAUCAGAAGGAGUGGAGCCGACCUUGUUCUGCCUCUGACUCACACAGUUUAUUUCCCAGACGAUGUGACUCCACCAGUAGUGCAAGCCAAGAUGAUUGGUCCAGAAGACGACAUGACUCCAAUCGUAGUUUAAACCGAGAUCGCUGGUCGGGUGGAGGCAGAAAGAGCUCAUCAGCCACGGAGGACAGUGCUACUCAUCUAUUCACUUCACCUGACUCCAUGUGUCCCUCUGAUCCCUAUUUUCAAAGAUCCUCAAUGACCCUUAGUGAGACUGCGGAUAGACGGGAGGGCCGAGUGAGGAGCAAGGACAGUGAAGAGUGCAGAGAACAGCAAUAUGAGGAGAGGAAGAGGAGAAGAACGCACGAGGAAGACAAACCCAGCUGCAGAAACCCCACUCCUCAAAGAGAGCCAGGCAAGGACAGGGUCAGGUCUCGCAGAGGACUCAGAGGAGGCAAAAGACAAAAGAGAAAGAAAAAAAGAGAAAGAGAAAGAGACAAGAUAAGGAGACACCCCCUGCCUGAGAGCAAAACAAAUGUCUCAAUAUUACUCUCUUAAUCGAGUUAAUGAGAACCACCCUGCGGUGCCGACAUGCGUGUAGCCUCAGAAAACACAGCUGUGUUUGUGAACAGUAACCAAUUCUAAUUAUCUGCAGUUUUAUGAGAUUUUAAUUUGUGCUGCACUGAGUGAAGCAAAAGUCAAUACUCACUAGAUGUUCAAAUAUUUAUAUUUGCUUUUUAUGGCGUAUUGUUGUUGUUUUAGUCCAUAGCAUUAACUUAACUUUAAGCGAAGUUUUCAAGUUAGAAAAUAGAUGAUAAUAUUAAAUAUGAUU
rnacentral:lncRNA from 1 species